UGGGGGAUAUUGCACAAUGGGCGAAAGCCUGAUGCAGCGACGCCGCGUGGGGGAUGAAGGCUUUCGGGUUGUAAACCUCUUUCGCUAUCGAACAAGGCCCGCUUAGGGUGGGUUGAGGGUAGGUGGAGAAGAAGCGCCGGCUAACUACGUGCCAGCAGCCGCGGUAAUACGUAGGGCGCGAGCGUUGUCCGGAAUUAUUGGGCGUAAAGGGCUUGUAGGCGGCUUGUUGCGCCUGCUGUGAAAACGCGGGGCUUAACUUCGCGCGUGCAGUGGGUACGGGCAGGCUUGAGUGUGGUAGGGGUGACUGGAGUUCCAGGUGUAGCGGUGGAAUGCGCAGAUAUCUGGAGGAGCACCGAUGGCGAAGGCAGGUCACUGGGCCAUUACUGACGCUGAGGAGCGAAAGCAUGGGUAGCGAACAGG
rnacentral:rRNA from 1 species